UUGGCAAAGUGUGACUCCUCCGAAUGGUGACAUAACACCCGCCACGUCAUUGUCUGCCUGAAUUUUGGCCACGGUUUGGGUGGCGACUGAUGGCAAAAAUGAGCAAGGCAAUGGAUGUGAGCGAGCUGCCUCGUAGCCGAGAGAACAGAAGUCCUGCCGCUGUGAAGAGAUCCACACUCAAGAAGACUAAAUUCAAGGCUGGUCAUGCUGUGAAAUCCAAGGUCCCUGGGGCAGAUCAAGGCUUGGUGAUUGAACCAUCACACCGAUGCAUAACCCCUUUAACUGUGGACAGCGUGGU